GUGCAGCAGUCGAGAAUUUUCUCAAUGGGCGAAAGCCUGAAGGAGCGACGCCGCGUGGAGGAUGAAGGCUUUCGGGUCGUAAACUCCUGUCAUUUGAGAACAAGCGUAGCCAAAUAACUACUGGCUACUUGAUAGUAUCAGAAGAGGAAGGGACGGCUAACUCUGUGCCAGCAGCCGCGGUAAUACAGAGGUCCCAGGCGUUGUUCGGAUUCAUUGGGCGUAAAGGGUGCGUAGGUGGCGCCGUAAGUGGGGUGUGAAAUUUCGGAGCUUAACUCCGAAACUGCAUUCCAUACUGCGGUGCUUGAGGACUGGAGAGGAGACUGGAAUUCAUGGUGUAGCAGUGAAAUGCGUAGAGAUCAUGAGGAAGACCAGUGGCGAAGGCGGGUCUCUGGACAGUUCCUGACACUGAGGCACGAAGGCUAGGGGAGCGAACGGGAUUAGAUACCCGGGUAGU
rnacentral:rRNA from 1 species